rnacentral:rRNA from 1 species
AACGAACGCUGGCGGCAGGCUUAACACAUGCAAGUCGAACGCCCCGCAAGGGGAGUGGCAGACGGGUGAGUAACGCGUGGGAACGUGCCCUUCGCUUCGGAAUAGCCCCGGGAAACUGGGAGUAAUACCGAAUACGCCGUAUUGGGAAAGAUUUAUCGGCGAAGGAUCGGCCCGCGUUAGAUUAGCUAGUUGGCGGUGUAAUGGACCACCAAGGCUACGAUCGAUAGCUGGUCUGAGAGGAUGAUCAGCCACACUGGGACUGAGACACGGCCCAGACUCCUACGGGAGGCAGCAGUGGGGAAUCUUGGACAAUGGGCGCAAGCCUGAUCCAGCCAUGCCGCGUGAGUGAAGAAGGCCUUAGGGUUGUAAAACUCUUUCGCCGGAGAAGAUAAUGACGGUAUCCGGAGAAGAAGCCCCGGCUAACUUCGUGCCAGCAGCCGCCGUAAAAC